rnacentral:rRNA from 1 species
AUACGGAGGGUGCAAGCGUUACUCAGAAUCACUGGGCGUAAAGCGCGCGCAGGCGGUCUUUUAAGUUGGAUGUGAAAGCCUACGGCUCAACCGUAGAACUGCAUCCAAAACUAUUAGACUAGAGUGUGGGAGAGGAAGAUGGAAUUAGUUGUGUAGGGGUAAAAUCCGUAGAGAUAACUAGGAAUACCAAAAGCGAAGGCAAUCUUCUGGAACACUACUGACGCUGAGGCGCGAAAGCGUGGGGAGCAAACAGGAUUAGAAACCCCAGUAGUCC